GUGCCAGCAGCCGCGGUAAUACGUAGGGUGCGAGCGUUGUUCGGAAUUACUGGGCGUAAAGGGCGUGCAGGCGGAUUGGCAAGCCGGAGGUGAAAGCCCGGGGCUCAACCCCGGAGGGUCUUUCGGAACUGCCAGUCUUGAGAGGGUCAGGGGCCAGCGGAAUUCCUGGUGUAGAGGUGAAAUUCGUAGAGAUCAGGAGGAACACCGGCGGCGAAAGCGGCUGGCUGGGGCCACUCUGACGCUGAGGCGCGAAAGCGUGGGGAGCAAACAGGAUUAGAUACCCUGGUAGUCCACGCCGUAAACGAUGGGCACUAAGCGUCCGACGGGUUCGACCCUGUUGGGUGCUGCAGUUAACGCGUUAAGUGCCCCGCCUGGGGAGUACGGUCGCAAGACUAAA
rnacentral:rRNA from 1 species